rnacentral:rRNA from 1 species
AGGAUAAACGCUGGCGGCGUGCCUAACACAUGCAAGUCGCACGAGAAAGGGUAGCAAUACCUGAGUACAGUGGCGCACGGGUGAGUAACACGUGAAUAAUCUACCUCCGAGUGGGGAAUAACUGAGAGAAAUCUUAGCUAAUACCGCAUAAUACCCACGGGUCAAAGCAGCAAUGCGCUUGGAGAGGAGUUCGCGGCAGAUUAGUUAGUUGGCGGGGUAAUGGCCCACCAAGACGAUGAUCUGUA